UGCGAACUCCUACGGGAGGCAGCAGUGAGGAAUAUUGGUCAAUGGGCGGAAGCCUGAACCAGCCAAGUAGCGUGCAGGAUGACGGCCCUACGGGUUGUAAACUGCUUUUAUGCGGGGAUAAAGUGAGGGACGCGUCCCUUUUUGCAGGUACCGCAUGAAUAAGGACCGGCUAAUUCCGUGCCAGCAGCCGCGGUAAUACGGAAGGUCCGGGCGUUAUCCGGAUUUAUUGGGUUUAAAGGGAGCGUAGGCCGGGGAUUAAGUGUGUUGUGAAAUGUAGGCGCCCAACGUCUGACUUGCAGCGCAUACUGGUUCCCUUGAGUACGCGCAACGCCGGCGGAAUUCGUCGUGUAGCGGUGAAAUGCUUAGAUAUGACGAAGAACCCCGAUUGCGAAGGCAGCCGGCGGGAGCGCAACUGACGCUGAAGCUCGAAGGUGCGGGUAUCGAACAGGAUUAGAUACCCUUGUAGUCCU
rnacentral:rRNA from 1 species